AUAGCAGGCCGUUCUAUCGCUGUCCCGAAAGGGAGAGAGGAAAGUCCGGGCAACACAGGGAAUCGUACUUCCUAACGGGAAGAUAUCCGUGAGGGUAUAGUAACGUAGCAGAAAAUAACCGUUCCGCAGACUUGUCUGCGGAAUAAGGGUGAAAAGGCGGGGUAAGAGCCCACCGGUAUGUCGGGCAACCGAUGUAGCCGUACGUCUUACGAGUUGCAAGACCAUGUAUACCGACGUUUUAAGCUUUCCCGGCUGAGUCGGGGGGUAGGUUGCUGGAGCUGCCGGGUGACCGGCAGAGUAGAUAAAUGAUAGAAACCGUAAAAGGUACAGAACCCGGCUUACAGGCCUGCUAUUUUU
rnacentral:RNase_P_RNA from 1 species